GUUUAAAGAUGGCGGCGGAGGAACCUCAGCAGCAGAAGCAGGAGCCGCUGGGCAGCGACUCCGAAGGUGUUAACUGUCUGGCCUAUGAUGAAGCCAUCAUGGCUCAGCAGGACCGAAUUCAGCAAGAGGUGAGGGGCUGCAGUGGGCGAGGGAGGCAGUGGCCAGCAGCCCCAUUGUGGAAAUGCAUAGGCUGGGCAUGAGGCCUAUUGUCUGUCUCUACUUUGGAAGCUCCCUCCUCCCUAGGCUAUGCUAGGUACUGGUGCUUUUCUGGGGGUCGCUGUGCCACCGGGUGACCAGCCCAGCUCUUUUGUAGUUAUUCUGUCUGUUAUGCAUGGGUCACUCCAUCUCCCUGCUAGGACAUGACAGAUCCCUGCCUCCUCCAGAUUGCUGUGCAGAACCCUCUGGUGUCAGAGCGGCUGGAGCUCUCGGUCCUAUACAAGGAGUAUGCUGAAGAUGACAACAUCUAUCAACAGAAGAUCAAGGUGGGAGCCUGGCCAGAGCGGGUGGGAAGCACCCUGGGGGUGGGGCAGGAGGGUGCCUGCUUCAGACUUGCUUCCUGCUGGGUCUGUCACCUGAGGGAGUAGGGUGUUGGAGGACACCUUUCGUUGCUGGUUCUUGAAGUGCGUAGGCUGAGGCCUCAAAAACACAUUGAUUCAAUGCUUGAACCCGGGAGGUGGAGGUUGUAGGGAGCCAAGAUCACACCAUUGCACUGCAGCCUGGGUGAUAAGAGCAAAACUUCAUCUCAGAAAAAAAAAAAAAAAAAGGUGGGGGGCAGGCACGGUGGCUCACGCCUGUAAUCCCAGUGCUUUGGGAGGCCGAGGUGGGUGGAUCCCCUGAGGUCAGGAGUUCGAGACCAGUCUGGCUGAUAUGGUGAAACCCCAUCUCUACUAAAAAUACAAAAAUUAGCCGGGCGUGGUGGCAGGCGCCUGUAAUCGCAGCUACUCGCAGGGCUGAGGCAGGAGAAUUGCUUGAAUCCGGGAGGCGGAGGUUGCAGUGAGCCAAGAUUGCAGCACUGCACUCCAGCCAGGGCAACAGAAGACUGUCUCACAAAAAAAAAAAAAAAAAGACAUUGAUUCAAAUCUAGACUCUGCUACUCAGCAGCUGUAUCCUUGGCAAGUCCUUUAGUGUCUCUAAAAUGGGUGUUCUCAUCUAUAAAUAGGGACAAUAAAAGCAUCUUCUGGCCGGGCACGGUGGCUCACGCCUGUAAUCCCAGCACUUUGGGAGGUUGAGGCGGGCAGAUCACCUGAGGUCAGGAGUUCGAGACCAGCCUGGUCAACAUGGCGAAACCCCAUCUGUACUAAAAAUACAAAAAUUAGCUGGGAGUGGUGGUGCGCGCGUGUAGUUCCAGCUAUUGGGAAGGCUGAGGCAGGAGAAUUGCUUGCAUCUGGGAGGCAGAGGUUGCAGUGAGGCAAGAUCCCGCACUGUACUCUAGCCUGAGCGACGGAGUAAGACUCCGUCUCAAAAAAAAAAAAGGCCUGGCGCGGUGGCUUACACUUGUAAUCCCAGUACUUUGGCAGGCUGAGGCGGGCGGAUCACGAGGUCAGGAGAUCGAGACCACGGUGAAACCCCGUCUCUACUAAAAAUACAAAAAAAUUAGCCAGGCGUGGUGGUGGGCACCUGUAGUCCCAGCUACUCGGAGAGGCUGAGGCAGAAGAAUGGCGUGAACCCGGGAGGCGGAGGUUGCAGUGAGCCGAGAUCGCGCCACUGCACUCCAGCCUGGGCGACAGAGUGAGACUCCCUCUCAAAAAAAAAAAAAAGCAUCUUCCCAUAGGGCGAUUGUGAGAUUGAGGGAGGUGCAGGCUGGGCAGGAGCUGAUGAUCUCGGUGCCCAUACGGGGGCUGACCAGGCUGGUGCUCAGUGGGGUAGGAGGGUUGCCAGAGGGCUGUUUCCCACAGCUUGCCUCCUGGAUCUUUGUGGAGAGGCAGGCAGCAGUGGGGUCAAGGGGCCACAGAUUUCCUCAAAGGGCCCUGCUGCAUCACUCAAACAGAGGCAAACUUCACCACCCACUUUCUAGGUCUGUGAGCUGGGAGGAUGACAUGCGAAAUGGGGCCAGGCAUGGUGGCUCAAGCCUGGAAUCCUAGCACUUUGGGAGGCUGAGGCCAGAGGAUCGCUUGAGCCCAGGAGUUCAAGACCAACCCAGGCAACAUAGUGAGACCUUGUCUCUCCAAAUCAAAAAAUUACUGGGCGUGGUAGCACAUGUCUAUAGUCCCAGCUACUCAAGAGGCUGCGGUUGGAGGAUCACUUGAGCCCAAGAAGUUGAGCCAUGAUUGUACCACUGCACUCCAGCCUGGGUGACAGUGAGACCUGUCUCUA
rnacentral:sRNA from 1 species